CCUUAAGCCUGGCUUCCUAAGGUUCUACCUGCUUUCAAGCCUUUAGCACCUGGGCCUUUGUUGGGGAGUUUUCCGAACCUCUGCCUUGUACAGUGCGGAUUGCACAGAACAGAGCUCUGUCCUGCAAGGCAAACCCCGAUGGCCUCUGUCGGUUCCUAUGUGCCCUGUAUCCCUGUCUGUCUGUUCCGCACCUUGCUAGCGAAACUGACAUGUGAGCAUGCUCUGAUUACCCCCAAAACAUCAAGGGUGAGUUAGAAUAAAUAUUUCUCUUUCAGAACAAUUUACAUAGAGAUGGGAUUUUGUUUUGGAGAAAGGAGCGCAUGUAAAUGGAGAUGGCUGUGUGAAUACUCAAAACUCGGGGCAAAGGGGAUAUCAGAUUUAUUCUGGACUUCAGACUACAUUGCUACCCAAGAGCCGACUUUCCACCUCAGUUCCAUAGCUAGUAGGAAGGAGAAGAAAAUAUGGAAUCUUGAAGAGAAUAUACAGAAGCUAUGGAUCCCUGGUCAGGAUUGUGACUCACACUGGAAUGAAGCUACCAUAUUCCCUGUGGACUCACCAAGCCACA